AGUGAACGCUGGCGGUAGGCCUAACACAUGCAGGUCGAACGGCAGCACAGUAAGAGCUUGCUCUUACGGGUGGCGAGUGGCGGACGGGUGAGGAAUACAUCGGAAUCUACUUUUUCGUGGGGGAUAACGUAGGGAAACUUACGCUAAUACCGCAUACGACCUACGGGUGAAAGCAGGGGAUCUUCGGACCUUGCGCGAUUGAAUGAGCCGAUGUCGGAUUAGCUAGUUGGCGGGGUAAAGGCCCACCAAGGCGACGAUCCGUAGCUGGUCUGAGAGGAUGAUCAGCCACCCUGGAACUGAGACACGGUCCAGACUCCUACGGGAGGCAGCAGUGGGGAAUAUUGGACAAUGGGCGCAAGCCUGAUCCAGCCAUACCGCGUGGGUGAAGAAGGCCUUCGGGUUGUAAAGCCCUUUUGUUGGGAAAGAAAAGCAGCAGGUUAAUACCCCGCUGUUCUGACGGUACCCAAAGAAUAAGCACCGGCUAACUUCGUG
rnacentral:rRNA from 1 species